ACUGGCGGCGGCUUACCAUGCAAGUCGAGCGGAAACGAUGAUAGCUUGCUAUCAGGCGUCGAGCGGCGGACGGGUGAGUAAUACUUAGGAAUCUACCUAGUAGUGGGGGAUAGCUCGGGGAAACUCGAAUUAAUACCGCAUACGACCUACGGGAGAAAGGGGGCAGUUUACUGCUCUCGCUAUUAGAUGAGCCUAAGUCGGAUUAGCUAGAUGGUGGGGUAAAGGCCUACCAUGGCGACGAUCUGUAGCUGGUCUGAGAGGAUGAUCAGCCACACCGGGACUGAGACACGGCCCGGACUCCUACGGGAGGCAGCAGUGGGGAAUAUUGGACAAUGGGGGCAACCCUGAUCCAGCCAUGCCGCGUGUGUGAAGAAGGCCUUUUGGUUGUAAAGCACUUUAAGCAGUGAAGAAGACUCCAUGGUUAAUACCCAUGGACGAUGACAUUAGCUGCAGAAUAAGCACCGGCUAACUCUGUGCCAGCAGCCGCGGUAAU
rnacentral:rRNA from 1 species